GUGAGGAGGAGUAAUUUGGAAGCUACAUCUGUUUUCUGAACCUCCUUGACAGUGCGGGAGAAAACAAGAGUUUCGUUGGAAUUUGACACCUAAUUUCCAUGGAAGUAACUGUUUAGAGAUUUUAUCUUUACGGUGACUGGUAGCUAAUAUCCAACUUUGAGGUGUUCUUCUGGAAGACUCUGCGGAGCAUAGCUUUCUGUUGUUUUCCAUCCAUCCUUCCCCCACCCCCCCCCCCAUCCUGUCAUGUCCUUUAAAGAGCAUCUCGAGAAGUACCGGGACGUGGACGAAGACGAGCUUUUGAAACAGCUCUCGGACGAAGAGCUGAGGAAACUGGAGGAUGAACUGGAUGAGCUGGAUCAGGAUGACCCUCACCUGCCAGCAGGGCUGAGGCAGAAGGACCAGACGAAGAAGCCACCCACCGGAACCUUCCAGAGGGACACCCUGCUGGCACACCUGGAGAAGCAGGCCAAGGAGGACCCGGACAAGCCAGACCCAGUGCCCUACACUGGUCAGAAGAAAGGGAAGGCCUGGGUGCCCCAGCAGACGAUGGUGACCUCGGUCAGGGAGAAGGUGACCCUGGAGCCUGAGUUGGAGGAGGCGCUGGCCGUGGCUAAUGAUGCUGAGCUGUGUGACUUCGCUGCCAUUCUGGGCAUGCAUACACUGAUGAGUUCACAGCAGUACUAUGACGCCUUAUCCAGCAGCACCAUCGUCAGCAAGCAGGGUUUGAACAGUGUUAUUCAGUGCGCUCAAUAUAAGCCAGUUCCUGACGAGCAGCCGAACUCCACAGACAUAGAGAACACUCUGCAGAGAAUCAGGAGGAACGACCCUGACCUGCUGGAGGUCAAUCUCAACAACAUCCAGAACAUUCCUGUGCAUACCCUCAGAGAGUACGCAGAGGCCCUGAAACACAACACCACGGUGCAACUGCUGAGCAUUGUGGGAACCAGGAGCACCGACCUUGUGGCUUUUACGCUGGCAGACAUGCUGAGGGUGAACAGCACGUUGAAGAGCCUGAAUGUGGAGUCCAACUUCAUCACAGGGGCUGGGAUACUUGCGCUCAUGGAGUCACUGCAGUUUAACAAGACCCUGCUGGAACUCAAGAUCGACAACCAGAGCCAGGCCUUGGGGAACAGGGUGGAGAUGCAGAUGGCCUAUAUGCUGGAGCAGAACUCCACCCUGCUGAGGUUUGGCUACAACUUCACCCAGCAGGGCCCGAGAAUGCGCUGCUCCAACGCUGUAAUGAACAACAAUGAUUUGGCUCGGAUGGUUCGUUCAAAUAGAGACGGUUCUGUCACGCUCACCUUGUCUGUGCCCGAACUGGAGAAGGCCUUUAAAAAGAAGUUCAAGUUCAGAUCCAAGUAAACCUCCUUCAACACUGGCUGAUACACACCAUGGCCCUGUUUCACAAAGCAGGAUUACCAAGUCAGCUGGAUAACUGUAUGAGUAAAACCCAGAACCCUCCCAAAUCUGGAACAUGGACUGUAGUAAAAACCUUAAGUGCAGUUACCCAGCUAAUUUAGUAAUCCUUCUCCAGUUCUCAGCGCAAAGGACAAAGCAUGAUGGGACGUCCGUCCUCCCCAAGCGCCGGGUGGGCAUGGAGUCCCCACCCAUUUUCUUCGGGACACACCCAAAAAAACUCCCCAUCUUUCUCCCUACGACUGAAGUCAUUCUUCUGUGGAGAGUACCCAUUCUGCCUCAACCUGACCCCACCCUGCCCUGUCAAAUUCCUGAAGUGUUCCUACAGUGGGAACCUGGCCACAGCCAAUGACAAUAAACCAGGAAGAGGGAGGAGCCAAUCCAACAGAAUCUCAGUAUGCACUUGAACUGUGUGCGCAGAUUAUUUCAAACACUGUGUGUGUUUUUAUCCAUUUCUGACCCUUUGAAUCGGGUUUAAUACAAUAUGGACCAUGUCAUCCAAUCACCACUGCAAACUGGACUCACUUGAUUCAGUCAAAGGAUGGGGCUGGAAUUUUAAGGUGUGUAAUUUUGUGCACAGAAUAUUGUGAAUACCUGUAUAUGGCACAGAAAGGAUCAGAAAUCUUGUAACGAUGACUGUUCUUCUUUGAUCUAAUUUAUAUAGAAGAGCAUUUUUUACGAUAUAUAUUUUAGCUUUUUUUUUUUUUAUCUUGAGCCUCCUCUACCUGAUUAGCACUGAACCUGACAUCACCACUAAGCAUUUUACCCACUGCCAUAUAAAUGCAUGCACUGGUUUGCUGUGUAAUUUACUACUGGGUCUGAUCUAUUGAAAUUCAGUCAUACUGCUAGUACUGACACCAUCAUUUGGGCAAGUUUUUAGUCGUCCAUCAGCUGUUGAAAUAAAAUGAUCAUGUGGCUUGCUGGUUCAUGUUCAACAGCGACAACACAGACACAGGAAACUGCCAUCAUGAAGCAGUAACUAAGCAGUAAAGUAUCUCUAACUUCAGUAUGUUGUGUACUGGACUUGAGGAAUGUGCACAGUCCAGAAACGACACUAUGGUGUGAAGCAGUUCCACUCCUGCUAGGAAAUUGAAAUAGAAGGCUGGCUUUUAACUGUGUGGGAGGGGCCAAACCACAUCUGCCAAUACCAGUUCAAGACAUCACAUGGCUUGAUUUACUUAUCCAUAGGAAUCACCACUCAGUUCAAUAGCUUAACCUGCAUGUUAGUCAUGUUAACUUUUAAGCAGAACAGAGCAACACUGUCAUUAUAAAGCAUGCAUUGAAAUAUGUU